UAAAUAAUAUUGUUUUAAAUAGACUCUCAUAGAGGUAGUUAGCAAUGUCUAACAUUCGAGUAAAAAAAUAGAAGCUUUGAUGUUAACAUGCUAUAUUUGGCUACAAAAAUUAACAAUGGGAGCAACAAAUGAUAUGUCAAGUAUGUAAUGACUCAUUUUGGUAGAGCUGAAAAUAUGAAAUCCAUGCAAAAUUAAUAUAUGCAUGCCAAAAAGGACAAUUUUUGAAAAGUUAGAAACAAUAUUAGUUUUGCAGAAGUUUGAGAAGCAAAAUAAACUUAAUAAAAAAUGUCCAAAUUCAGAAAACUAGAACGAAGGAAAAAAUAUCUUAUAGAAAUCGUGAAAAUCGGUAGAAUAUUUUUAACAGCAAAUACAAAAAAGGUCAAUGUUUCGACGUGGUUGUUUUUAUACUCUAAUUUCCAAAAGUUUCUAAAUAUUUAUUUAUUUACAAACACAAAAUUGUUUGUUUCUUAUUAAAUUUCUUUGUUUUCUAUGCUCUUACAAUGUUGUGUGUAGGUAAAUUGCUGCCACAUUAGACUAUGUAGGAAAAUUGCUGCCAAGUUAGAGUAAACUGCAUCGACGUAAUUACAAAAGUGUGGUAGUAUGUGUGAUUUUGAAUGUUGAGCGUAACUUAUCUUGUAUUAGAGGUGAGAGGGAAAAUCAGAGUGAUGAAUGUUAAAAAGAAAAGGUACAAAUAGAUUUUACUUUAAGCUAUGGAAGUAAAUGUUAUCACCUUCAUGUCAUCUCCUCAAAUCGAGUGAAAUAUAACAUGUUGGAUCUCCACUUGUUAUGAGGUAAUAGACACAUGCACACCAGUUUUG
rnacentral:lncRNA from 1 species